CCAUUUCCCAUUCUCUCUCUACUUAAAAAAAGCAAUCAAAAUUAUCUGUGUUUAAAAUUUUUUUCUACUGCACUUUUCCGGUAACACCUCACGAAGAAUAUUUUAUUCUGACAUUAAAAUGUCUACGUCUUUAAAGAUAUCUAAAGUUAUCUUGGUUAACUGUAAAGCCCCAGGAUGCCACAGCACCAACCAAUCAACAAACAAACAAAAACAAAACAAACUAAAACAAUCACAGGACAAAAAGGAAUGAUUCCUACAGUGUGUUUGAGGACAUAGAGGGGGUGGGACGGGGUGGCUGAGGCCUAGACACAGCAAGAGAGGGUGUUGUUAAGGGAAGGUAUCUUUUCUGAACAUACUGGAGAAUUCUCAUGAAGGUGUUAUUUUUCAGUGUCUGUUAGACAUUUCAUACAGACAGACCUUACAGACUUUUGUAGUGUCUUUCCUCCAAACAUGCAGGGUUAGAGGUCAAAUCUGGGAAACAGAAGUAUCUAUUGCUGAUUCUCUUUCUUGUUGAUAUUUUUAUUCUUAUACUGUGUGUGUGUAUGUGUGAGUGUGAGAGAGAGAGAGACAGAGGGGGAGAGAGAGAGAGAUACAGAGAGAGAGAUACAGAGAGAAAGAGAUACAGAGAGAGAGAAAGAGAGAGAGAGAGAGAGAGACAGAGACAGAGACAGAGACAGAGACAGAGACAGAGGGAGGAGAAGGAAGAGGGAGGGGCAGAAAGACAGAGACACAAAGACAGAGAUCACUCAGACAUGCACGUGUAGAGGUCAGAGGUCCCGGAAGUCAGUGUUGGGUGUCUUUCUCUGUUGGCCUCUAUCUUGGCUCGGAGACAAGAUCUUUCACUAAACUUGUAGCUCAUAAGCUUUGCUAAACUGACUGGCCAGGAAGCUCUCUGGGAUCUGCCUCUUUGUGUCACUCCCAGGGUGUAAGUUGAUGUCAUUAGGCUGGUGAAGGCAGACAAGAUAAAACAAGGCCUCUCAUUGGAUGAGAAGGAAGGGAGGCGGAAACAGAGUGUUUUAGAAAGAGAGGGAGAAGCAGGAGAAAAGGAGCUGGGAGAACAUGGCGGCAGAUAAGAUUCUUCUCUGUGCAUAGAUACAGGUCGUAAUGAAUAUUUCUAAGGGAUGGGUGUGUACAGGAUUUUGUGCUGUGGAGAUGGGCAAAUUAUAUCUUAUCAAUUGGAUCAGAGGUUAUUGUGUGGUGUGUUCUUUCAUGUGGCGACUUAAUUGAGUUCAAGAGAAGGUAUGGCAGCGGGAUGCACCAAGCCCGCUACAGAAUUGGGAUGUGUGAGCCUGGUGUGGUUACCACCCACAUAGGGAACUGUGAGUGUAAGCAAAGCGGUGUGGCAAGGUGCUGCACGGAAACAGCUCGUGGACUGCCGGGUCAGAGAGUACCAUGGGGGCAGCGUGGAGAUGCUGAGAUAAACUAGUGCUAGUUCCUAUGGCCUGCCAGAGCCGGAACUAGUGAGAGAGCGACCGCCCAGGUAUGUGAGGAAACCGGUCGCUUCUGUCUUUUUUUUUUUUUUUUACCGCAACACCAGGGAUGGGAUUACAGAUGGAUGUCACGAACCUGAACCCAGAUCUUCCUGCUGGCAUAGCAAGCAUUUCUGCCACCUCCCCCUUCCCUAACCCAUUUUUUCCUUAUGUUCUUUAGAUAAAUAAAUCCUAGAAUUCUCAAUUGGAAGCAAUUUGGCAGCGUCUGAAGAUAUUUUUGGUUGGCUCAGUGUAUUAGUAACUUUUCUGUUGCUUUGAUAAAAUACCGUGACUAAGGCACCUUAUAGAAAAAAGAGACUCUUUGGGCCUCUGCUUCCAGAGGAUGAGUCCGCUAUAGAGGCUUGGUAGCAGUGGGCUGAGAAAUCAUAUCUUCAACCAAAAGCACGAAAUAAAGAAAGUGAACUGGACAGGGGAUGACUGUUAACUCUCAAAGUUGCCUUCCAGUGACAGACUUCUUCCCCCAAAACCCCACCUUCCAAACCUCCCCAAAUAGUGCCACCAACUGGAUGUUCAAAUACCUGAACUUGUGGGGACUUUUUUCACUCAAACCACUUGGUUAACAAGGUCGAGUGGGCUAUUGCCAUAGAGUGAGUUGAAGCCCAGGGUGCUUCUUAGAACGACACAGUGCGGGGGGAGGAGGAUAGCCCGCCACAGGUAAGCAUGACAAAGUCCAAAACACUAGUGCCUAUGAGGCUGGGAAGAAGUUUUUCUUAAUGAAUGAUUCAUAGACUUAAGUCAUGGCCGAGCACAAAAGAAAAUUUCACAAACAAAGCUACAGUAGACAUAUUAUAUAGAUUGUUUUCGUAACUCUCUGUUUUAGCUUAGGAAGCAUUUUAUUUUAUUUUUCUCGUUUUUUUUUUCCUUCUUCACAUUUCUCUUUCUGAGAAAGAAGACCUGGGGAGUUGAUGUGGAGAGAGUUAGUCUCUGAAUUAGACACGUUAGGAGGUAGCUUGUAUAAGGGAGAAAAGAUUUAUUCUAGCUCACUGCAAGAGAGAUAUAGUAGUUCAUCAUAUCUGGAAAGACAUAGUAACCCUCUCACAUCUCAGUGUGUAAACCGGGAACCAGCUUAUAAGCCACAAGACCCGCUCACCAGUGGCCCUUUUCCUCCAGCUAUGCCCUACCUUUAAAGAAUUCUGAAAGCUUCCAAAACAGAGCCACCAACUGGGACCAAGCCUGUGAGGAACAUUUCACAUUCAAAACAUAAUGGCCUCCUCCCUCGUAGUAUGGUUCCAAAGCCGUGCCUUUUUUAUCUAUUUAUUUCUUAAGCACAUAGUUGCUCAUGAAAUCAUGUCAAGUGGUAAAGGUUUGAUGGUGGCCUACCAUGUGCUUAGCAUGUUCUGUAUAUCUAGCAUGACUUGGACAUAGGGCACAUAGGCUGUGGCCCUGGGCCUGCAUUAUCCUGUUUACUCCUUCUUAGAGUCCCAAGUGGAGGGAUUACUAUAACCUACCCCACAUAAGAGUAAACAGAUGGCUGGAAGGUUAGUCGUGCCCAGGUCACAUGGUGAAUAUGAAGGGACUCAGGAUUCUAAUACAGUAAAUGGUUUGAUUCCAAUACCAAUGACCUUGCUGGGCAAGUCUCUACGUCCCGUCCUGUGGCUUGGAGCUGGGUCACAUGUCCUUUUUUGUUGCUAGAGGGACUGUGCUCCAGCUGGCUCUUCGAAUUUGAGAAAUUCCACUAAACUCAUUCUCGGCUUCCUCUUAGGAUGGAAAUACAUUCCUGGAUGAGAGCGGAAACUUAAUCAAGGGAACACUCACUGCCUUUGCCAGAAAACAGUGUCCUCCUCUACUUGUUUAGCAACUUCCCUGAGAUAUUACAAACAGCAGAGAUCAGUUUGUGAUGAUGACCACAUUGGGGGACAUUUCUGUCACCAUGGCUACUCUUCAUCAUCAACUUUGCCGGACUAAGAGAUGCGUAAGAGAUUAGUGGGUCUGAAAUGGUGUUUCCAGAGACGAUUUUAUGGUGAAGGUUCUUACCUAAAUUGGUUAGGUCUACUACUUUGAUGGAGUGGUGUCUUGGUGGCUUUAUUGGGAAGUGGUUAGAGGUAGGAUGUGGGAAGUCAGGGGAGGAAGUAGGUCACUGGGGCCAUGAUUUCGUGGUCUAUAUAUUACACUUGCCUCUUCUUGCAGCCUCCUUUUCUUAUUGUACAUCAGGAAAAGGCUCUUCUGAAACUGUUUCUUGCCUCAUAAUACUUUACCAAGCCUAUGGGACCAAGAAACUGUGGACUAAGAAAUCUCUACAGUGGUGUAUCAUUUAGAAUAGUUCACAGGGGACCAAGAAACUGUGGACUAAGAAAUCUCUACAGUGGUGUAUCAUAUAGAAUAGUUCGCAGCAUCAGUAAUUGCUGAGUCGGCACAUUUGUUCACGUUUUCCAACUGUGAAUGACGCUGCAGACACUCUGCUGUGCAUGGAAGUUUUGAGGAAAUAUAUUUAUAAAAGAUUUAUGUGCUUACGAUGACAAGUUGCAAAAAUAGAGUCCAAACUACAUCUAUUUGUACAAUCACAGAAAAAUAGGAAAAUUUCUGUAGGUCAUGGUUGCACAAACGUAUAGCUGAUAGGCCAUUAAUUUUGAGUUUUUCAAAUAGUUACAAGACAGAAAAAAAAGUUUGCCUGUAACAGACUUACUGAGUUGAGCAAGAGCGGGCUGUAUGUUCAAAGGAAAUGAAAUCAGUACCUUAAAGUUAUAUUAUAUAUACAUAAAGAGGUAAAGUAGAAAUAAUACCACCAUUUUGCUAUUUACAACUUAUGGUGGUGUUAAGUACAAUGAACUAUUAUUCAACCUUAACAUGAAGGAAAUCCUGUGACACCAUAGAUGAAUAUGUAAGACUUGUGUGCUAAGUGAAACAAGCGAGGCUUAUAAAUGCAAAUACUCCAUGAUCUGCCCCAUCUGUGUGUGGAAUCUUACAAAGUUGAAUUCACAGAAAACAGACAAAGUAAGUCAUUCAGUGACUGUGGAGCUGACCCAUGGAUGCUGGCUUGGGCAUGAAGGGUUGGUCCAGAACCAUGAAAUGUCGGGACUUGGGAUACAGUUCAGGUUGCAGAGUGCUUGCCUGCCAUGCACAAAGCCCUGGGUACUGCAUAAACCAAGUUUACUGGCACACAUCCAUGAUCACAGAGCUUGGAAGGAGGAGGCAGGAGGAUCAAGAGCUUAAGGUCACUUUUGUCUAUGACCAAGUUCUGGCCCAGUCUAGGUGUCAUGAGACUGAUAGAAAAAAAAAGAAGUAGAGAGUUUGAAUUAUCCAGGAUGAAUACACCUAAGGUCAGCAUGGUGCUCAUACUAUGUAUGGCUGGAUGGGCUCUAUACUGCAAGACUUUAGGACAGGGCCAUGAGAAGAGAUUAGACUUUGUGCAUCAUCACUGAGCUGUGCAACUACAAGUACGACCAUUUUCCUUGAAACUAGGCAGUUUAACCUCCUAGAGAUGCUCUCCACAAUUAAUAACACCUUACUGUAUGCUUAACAUUUAUGGACAGAGUAGAUCCUGAAUUCCGACUACAAAACAAGGUGUGCAUAUGGGGUCAUGGAUAUGCUAACUAGCUUGAUUGUGCUAAUGGUGGCAAAACGUGUAUAAAAAUACCACAUUGUACAUCUUAAAUAUGUACCAAUUUGUCAGUCAUACUUCUGUAAAUUGAAGGGAAUUUGGAACAGGAUGCAUAAAGCAAGCUGCUGAAUUAGAAAUCCUCUUACUGAAAUAUGAAGGCUUGCAUAUUUAACAGAUACGUAUUGACCCUUAACUACUAACACACAGGGGAUGUAGGAUAACCCUGACAGGAAUACAGUCCCAAGAUCAUAAAGGAUGAUCUUUUUUUUUUAACUGAGUCAGAAGAAUACGUUUUCUUUGUCAUUCUAUGUUUAUGUGUGUCUGGGUCGGGGCAUGUAAAUGUGUGUAGAGAUGCUCUGGGGUCCAGAAGGUGGCAUCAGAUCCAUGUAGCCGCUUGUGAGCCACCCAGCCCGGGGGCCAGGAAUCAGACUUGUCCUCUGCAAGAGCAAUUCUGUGUUCAUAUCUGCUGAGCCAUCUCUUCAGCCCAAAGAGUACCUCUGAAUGAGCUGUAGACAUCUGCACUCAGGCAGAGGUGAGCACGGCAGGGAAAGAUGACAUACUGGGAUCAGGAAAGUCGUACGAUGUAGCGGACAUCUUUUCGGAGGUUUAAGGAUUUAGUCUGCCUUUGCAGGCGGAAUUCUCUCUGGGACAAGAUGCCACCUAGCACACGCACGCUUAAUAUGUAAUUGAAGACAUUAAACGCCUCAUUUGUUUGUUAAAGGUUGAACAACUCACAGAUCCUUCUCACCCAAUACAUGUGUGAACUUUCAUGAGAGUGUUUUCCACACCUAGAAUCUCUGUUCAGGUCUCAGAAUCUACAGAUGAAUGUAGCGCGCCCUCCAUGCAGCCGAUGGAGCUCUCUUACUCGACGGGAGUCCCUUUCCUCACAUCCCGGCGAGGCUGAUUUUGUUCUUAUCCGUUACACUACCUUUGCGAGCAGUAGUUCAGUGUGCUUGGUGGCCUGUCUCGACCCAGCAAAACAAGAUCAGUCAUUCGGUGGCUGGUGACAGUUGAAAGCAGAGUCAGUCCGUCUCUGUCAUGUGGGCCUUGCCGAGCAGAACUCCCUGGCACUGAAAACACACUGACUAGCUGGAUCUCCAGACAUCUUCCAGGGCACGCCACUCGCUCCGCACCCCCGUCUUCUUUCAUCUCCAACGGUUUUUUUUUUCCAUGACCGUACUGCAGUCUCUGCUGAAAUUUAAGUAAGACUUAAAAUCAGGGACACCUGUUGUAGUUGGAAAGGACCCUGUUGUCUGUGUGACGGUGGCCAUUGAGCCCGGGACAGCUGCACGAAUCCAAGGCCAGUCAGGGUUCACUUCAGUAGUAUUCUCUCUUGGAAGAACCCCAGCUCCUCAGUGUGGCUGUGUGUUGGUUGAUUUUUGCAGAAAGACAGUUUUGCUAAGUAAACACAAAUACACACACACACACACACACACACACACACACACACACACACACAUACACACACAGAAGAGUAGCAGUGACUAAAAAUAAUCAAUUGAAAGAUCCUAAAAAUAAUCUGCAUAUAUUGAAAGAGCUAUAUUUGCUCACCCUCCCCCUGCACUGACCUUCGAACAAUGCUGGAUGCUCCCGGUUCAUGCUACGCACACUGUGAGGAUCUGUGGUGGUGUGCAGUCCAUUUACAUCAAACUAAAACACCAGGGGACGAUACCAGGACCAGAACUCAGCUCCCCUCAUCCCCAAACUCAUUUCUCCCCUGCUUUGUUUCCCAUCUUUUAUUUCUAGGUGACUUGUGGCUGCCUCUUCUGGAAUUCUUUUGUCUUCUGAUGAUCUCAGGCUGCAGGCCAGAGUUAUUGGGCGGGGUAGGGGAGAUCAAAACAUUUGCACAAAAGUCCUACAAGAUGAGGGAGAUUUUUAAAAAAGAGAUUUGGAUUCCUUGUCAUAAUCAAGUUUUAUAGUAUCUGAUAGAAACAGACUGAUAUUUAAUGCCUUUUUUUUCCACAAUUACCCACAUUACAUCAUGUCUUCCAAAUGUACAAGGCUUGUGAACAAAGGGUCUACUUUAAAUGCCAUGCCAUCUUUACUGGACAGUAUGAAGCUAUGUAUUCUCAGGGUUUCUAAGCAAAAUGGAAGUUGCAUGCCUCAUGAUUUGUGGGUGUGCAUGGGUACCCAUAGUUUGAUAUCUCAUGCUGGCCCAGUGGUUAGAUUCAGUUCAGUAUCCUCUUCACCCUAUGUAGUUCACUGAAUUUGACACUAGCAAUCAGUCUACAUGCAUCUGGUAUGUAAUGUCAUGGGCGUGACUUUGACCUUCCUUAAUACUGUCACGUCUAGACAUUUUGUGGGUCCAGUAAGUGUAUUUAUUGCUAAAUUGAGAGUCCAUGGAUUUACUUUCAGAUUGCAUCUGAAGGCAGGUAGCAUCCCAGUUGGGCUUGGUCAAGAGGGUGUGAAAUUAGAGGUCGCUCUAGGCAGAGGCAGCAUCAAGCCCGAAGACAUUCCCUAGAGGAAGCAUGGAGGCUUGGAGACAAAAGAGCCCAGGAUCCAGUCACAAACAAACUGUCUUCUCUCAAGGGUGAGGAGUUUGAACUUUGUCCUGAGGCAGUGGAGGGUUACGAGAGGAUAGAAAUAGGGGAGUGAAAGCAUCAGGUUUGAUUUAAACGGGUCAGCUUGUCAACACUAAAAAUUGGACAGGGCCUGGGAGGGGACUGAAAGCAAGGAGGCAAGCAAGAUAGAAGACCGCUACCAUAAUUCAGGGACCGAUGAAAGAGUCUGAACAAAGGCAGCGACAAUCUGGAUAGAGGAUAGGAGGUGUGUUCCAAGGCAUUAAGCAGGCCUAAACUUAGGUAGAGUGUCACAAUGGCCCCUGAUUACACAGCUUGGCUACAGUGGCCAGAGGAUGGCGGAGAAUGCAGAGUUUAUACGUGAUCCAGCUUCCUAUUUAGUUGCAAGGAAUAUUCCAGAGAGUCUAAUUUUCCUCACUGCUAUCAUGGCUAGGUAAACUAUGUACUGCAAGGCUCUAGGACAGUGCUAUGGGAAUAGAUUAGACUGUGUUUGGAGCACGCUUGAGCUAUGCACGCACGAGAAUGACCAUUUUCCUUGUGUCUCGGUAAACGCCAAGACCUCCUGGUCCACACAGCUUCUUGAGAUGGGAAAGGUGGGCUAGACCUCAGGAUCUAAUGUAAGACUGAAAUAGUUCUUGUCUUAGACAAGUGUUGAAAGGUUCAGGGGAGGAAUCCAAACGAAAGCCUUCCAGCAGCUGGAGACCCCAUAAGGAGGUCAUGAGAAGCCUGAGUUGACAGAGAGAGAGACUCCAUCCCUUCAUCAGCUGUGGCAUAGCGUGGGAAGGCCAAAAAAGCAGCCACAAAGGAAUAUCCUGCCAAAGUAUAGGACGCAGGGCAUAGGCACAGACUACAGAGGAAUGUAGAGGAGUCUCUAACACGCUGAGGCUCUGGAUGGAAUCCACACCCACAAAUCGUCAGGCACAUUACUUCCAUUUUGCUUAGAAAGCCUGAGAACACACAGCCAUUGCUUUAUACUGUCCAGUAAAGAUGGCAUGUCAUUUAAACUAGUCCCUUUGUCCACAAGUCUCAUACACUUGAAAGGCAUGAAGUACUGUGGGUAACUUUGUAAAAAGAAACCAUUAAAUAUGAGUCUUUUUAUAGCAAAUACUAUAAAACUUGAUCAUGGCAAGGAAUUAAAAUCUCCCCCCUACCCCAUGCAGUAAAAUAUUUGUUUACACAAAGGUCCUGUACAUUCUCAAAUUAAAAGUAGCUAAUCCUGUCUCACUUCAUUCCUGUGGACUAGUUCUUUUGAAGGCUAGUCAGAAGACUGUGGGGUUUCCCCAGGCAAUGGGGAAACCAUAUAGUCACCACCUAAGUUUGAAUAAAAGUCAAGUAGACUUCUUAUCUAUGUAUGUGAUUGCCCAAGUGCACCUCCUUGAAAGUGUGCUGUGUCCAGAUACAUCACUUCUCUCUUUGUGAUUUUGAACUUAUUUCUAACCAUUUGCCCUUCAAAUUGGACAGCAGGUGUAUUUCUAAGAAGUUGUGAAACUGGGGCUGGAGGGAUGGCUCAGUGGUUAAGAGCACUGACUGCUCUUCCAGAGGUCCUGAGUUCAAUUCCCAGCAACCACAUGUGGCUCGCAACCAUCUAUAUUGAGAUUUGAUGCCCUCUUCUGGUGUGUCUGAAGACAGCUACAGUGUACUAAUAUAUGAUAAAUAAAUAAGCCUUUAAAAAAAAGUUGUGAAACCGAAUUUUACUUUUUAAAUGUUUCUAUCACUAUGUUUCUAUCAUUCUUAAGAUGUACAACAAUAGUAUUUAGAAAAUAAAUAUAUCCAUUACUACAUGCCUGACAGCAUCCAGCACCACGUAGCAUUCUAAGUAGAAGUCUCAGAAGAGAACUGCAAUGGAAAGUGUAUGAGCUGUGUGGUUUGCAGCAUCAGCACCAAACCCAUCCAUCGUCCUGGAACAUGAGGAACAGUCCCUGGACUGACAAAUGAGUAGGCUGGCAAAGCAGAGUGAUCUCAUGUGACCACGACGAGCCUGUGAAGUAGGUCUUAACUAUCUUUGUUUUGUAGCAAGGAAACAGGCACACAGAGUUCAACAGUCAAGGUCACAAGCUAAGCAGCCAAGGUCACAGAGCUAAUCAAUACUGGGGGCAUUGAAUGAGAUCUUCUGGUUCUUCCCCCAGCCUGAUGCCCAUUCACGGAAGCUUCAUUUUCCGCAACCUUAACUUAACAGGACCCACUAUAUUCCUCCUGUAAAGGAGAAACCGUAAUUUAUAUGUCAUAAGUUAAAACAAAUGGCUGGAGAGAUUUUCCCUACAAUUGGAUUGCUCGUUUAUAAAUGCACAAAAUCUUAUAAUUCAACCGAUUUUGAAGAAGGAGAGAGGAGACACCAAUUGCUGGUAGUGGCCAGAGCAGAAAAUGAAAAAUGUCAAGGCCUGACUGAAUGUCUAUUCAUCUUCCCCUCUUUGUCCUGUGGGUGGUCAGCUGCUUCCUAUUUAACUAACAUUUACCUCACGACAACACACUUGCUUUUACACUGAGAGCUAUCACUAUAAAUCUGCUCGAUUGAUCUGUUAAACUAACAAAAUAGAAAUGGACUGCAAGUAGGAAAAUGAGCCCAAGCCCAACAGACUUUGAAAAUAGUAGAGGAGGGGGAUAAGACUCUGUGGCUGUGGAGCCCCACCCAUCCUCCUGGGUAACAGCAGAGCCCACAUCGGGGAACGGUUAUUUCAGACCAUGGCCCACAAGGCGCAGGUGAUAGAUACCUACUGCUGGCUGUUCCCUCCGGGCCCCACAUUCCUCCACCAACCUCGUGAUUCGCACAGGUUCCCGUUCUAAACCCAGGCUGGGCUCUGCACACAUAAUGUGCUCUCUCUCCUGAUCUUUGCUUUUCAGGGGAAGGCAAACAGAAACUGAAAGAUCAGGUCCUGGCUAAGAAAAAGAAGAUUUUCUUUCACUCUGGGCCAAAGGGGAGCACUGCUGAAACAUAAAAAUAAAAAUGAAAAAUGAAAAAUAAAGACAGCACCUUCACCGUCAGGGCCCUUUCAAACAGUAAAAUCUGUCUCUUUAUCCCAGCUCCUGCAGACACCAUCCAGGAGAAUCUGGGCAGAGCAGCACACCGACUCUGUUUGUUUGACUAGGUCUCUGACGGGUGAAGGUGUCACAUGACAGCCGUAUGGACAUCAGUCUCAGCAGCCUGGAAGACAUUUCCCCGACACUUUCAGAGGCCUGACUGAAUCACCAGUUCAAUGUUUUGUUUUGUUUUGUUUUGUUUUAAUCCAACCUGCUCUGAGUCAGGGGUCUUUUUCUUCAAAUUAACUUACUGACAGCACUGAAACCCUGACGGAAGGUUGAAUUUUUUUAAGGUAAAAAGUGAAUCGGAGGACAGUUUGAUAAGAAGGCCCAGAAGCUAUAAAUAUGUGCGUGAGAUCUGGGAGGACGUGGUCAUGCCCUUCCCAGCAAGCACACAGCGGAUUCACGGUGCUGUUUACUGAAGUGCUCUAAAUUUAGAAGAAGCAAGUCGAAUGGAGCCCUGCUCUGUGAGUCAGCCAAGAGCUAUCUGAUCCUCCCUUGCAGGGCCCGGUAGAGAAGAGAACUCUGAGGCCCCCAUGGGGGAAUCACCUCCAGGGGUUAUUCCUGUGACCAAACAUAGCCUUGCUGGUCAGAAAGUUUGCACGGCAGGGGGCUGCUCCUCUGUAUUAGGUCCUUCUAGCAGAGCAGACUCACCCACAGGCUGGAAGAGACAAAGGGUGAUGCUCUUGGGCAGUUCUGGCUGGCUUCCCGGUGCUUCAAACUUAUGGUACAACUGGUUGAAUCUUCUCUAGAGGUGAAGACCAUGAAUGAAUCUUCCAGGCUGGAUGCACAAGGCAUGGGUGACAGCCUGGAAUCCUGAAUCUUGAUCUGGUUUUUAAAACGCUGCAAAGGCCGAUGUGCUUAGAUUUUUAUGUAUAUGAAGUCUUUACAAUUGCAGAAUUGGUAUUUCUUCACCUGUGCUUCAAAAAUAACUUUUUUUAAUUUAAAAACUGCGUGACUCAGCACCUGAUAUUGCCACAUGGUUAAACUAAAUCCGUUUAAGACAAAAAGGUACCCAUUGUUUCCCUCUCUUCAUUUCUUUUCUUUCAUUUUUCUUUCUUUCUUUCUUUCUUUCUUUCUUUCUUUCUUUCUUUCUUUCUUUCUUUUUUCAGGGGAUGGGUGUUCAAGACCGGGCUUCUCUGUAUAGCCUGGCUGUCCUGCAACUGUAGUAGGCUACUCUCGGACUUAGAGAUCUGCCUGCCUCUGCCUCUGAGUGCUGGGAUUAGAAGCACGCACCACAGCCUGGCGAACAUAAACUGUUUUCAAAGGAAAUCUCUUGAAUUUGAUCUAAAGUAAUUGUCAGUGUUUUGCUAUUUUUCCAGGACCAGGCAUUAAUCUCAGUUUAAUUACAAAAACCAAAUUUCAAUAAAAUCUAUUUACUGGGCUUGAGGGUCUCACAAUGCGUUGCUAUGUGAAGAUCUGAAUGCCCGUGUUCAGACAAGACAGUGGGCAUGAUGUAAAGAAAGAAACAAGACGUGGCAAACAUUUGGCAAAAGUUGGUUAUGGUUUCUUGUGGACGUUGAGAUUUAAACUGGCUUUGAAGAAGCUACUAUAAGUAAGAUUUAAGAGACAUACCAGGGCCAAGUGAGGGCGAAGUAAUUGCUAACAAUGAGUCAAGGUGGCUGGGGCAGAAAUGGGAGCACUGGGCUUUUUCCUCCUGGUCAACCCAACCCAUUGGCCCGAUCCCACUCCUAGCUUACCUAGCAUACAUAGUUCAUGAGGCUCCCAACUGGUCUCCCUGCGUCUUCAGCUCUGAGCCUUCCAUAGAAGUCUCUUCCACACAGCAUUAUCAGUCAGGGCUUUGAUGUACAAAUCACUUAUUCCUUAGUGCGUUUAUAAAGCUGUGAUCAGCAUCCAAGGAGAUGUGGCAGGACAGUGAAUUAAGGGGAGGGCAACCUCUACCCCUGAUCAGCCAAUUCUCCAGGAGGAGGGGGAGGGAACCACAUCGAAGAGAAUGAUAGGUAAGUGCAAAGUAAACGCAUAGCACACUGGAAAGUAACAGUUGUUGCUUGAAACUACUGAACAGUUAGAGAAGACAGAAAAUAGUGGAGCUGGGAGAAGAGCAGAUUUGAACACAGACUGGUCAGGGUGGACCUCAUGGAGAAAGUGACAUUCAAGUAUUAGCCUGGAGGAGGAGAAAGGGCUCGCUGGCGAGUGUGACUGUGACAAAGCAGAAGUGCUGUGUGAAGAAGAGGUGGCCGUUGUGGCUGCUCAUACUGAGGACAUUUCAGAAUAGAUGUGGGGGAAUCUUGAAUGCAGAACAUAAAAUACAGAGCAGAAAAUGAGGAAACAGGAUGAACCGCGUACUUAGCAUUCUGAAGGGAAACAACCUGGAAUGCCCCCUGUGCUGGGGAUAGACCGGAGGAGAAAUAGAAGCUGGGAGUGCUUUCAGAUCUUCGGUUGUCUAAGGGGGAGAGAAGGGAGAUUGACAGCGGAGACAGGCAGAGGCAGAGAGCAGUGUGCGGUGUAGUUAUGGCAAGGGGCAUGCCGACAGGAUUGGAGAGGGACAAUGCUUUGUUUUGUUUAAUUUUGCUUUGAGACAGUGUCUCAAGAUGAAGCCCCGGCAGACUUGGAGACGCUCUGUGACCUCAUCUCCAUGCACUGCCUCUUUCCUGAGCACUGGGGCUGAAGGCACAUUUAUCACCCUGGAGUCGACAAUUGGCCCUAUCCCUCCAAGAUUCUGCAACCCUUUCCGUCUCGAGCUGAGGCCAUGGCCAGCUUCCUCCUAAGGAUUCUGUGACUUCCUUGGGAGCCCUAACCCUCUAGGAAUACGUCUUCGUCUGAAUUCCUUCGAAGUCAUUUGGUGAUUUCUAUUAAAAUAAAAAAGAAAGUACCCCAUGUACAUAAUAGUUAAUGGUAAACUGGUUGCCAAGGACAGCAUGAAUAUGGCUUAGGCCACUGCAUUCCAUAUUGUGCUCAAAGCCAGGGACAAACAGGCAAAAGGGCCAGAUAUGUGAAGAAGCAUGCAUAGUAUACUUUACAAGUGGCCUUCGUGUUUGUUAUAGCUUCAGUACCAAGAUGGGGUGGCAUCCAAAGAAGUAUGGUGGUGGAUCCGUAUACAGAAAUUUCCUUGAAACAUAAGAGGAUAAGAAUGAACAGCUUUUGAAAGAUGACUACCAAAUGACGCCAACCAGGAGCAAAAACCUUAAGCUUAAUUGCCUUGUAUUUUUAAUCUAAAUGGUGUAAAGAGGCUUCCUAGAAAUAAAUGCAAUAACAUCUUCAAAUGGCCAGGCAGAAGGUCGAAACAACGUUGUUUUCAAGAUUUUGACGAGAGAUCUACGUGUCACUAAUACAGGCAGGCUUCUGGCUGCUGUGCCUGUGGUAGAUGGAUCGAGCUAAGUGAUCGUGGGGUUACUCUCCUGGCACAUCAUUUCUACUCUCCGACAAAAUCCACCCGUCUAAGUUCCUCUCCCUGAAGGCUACAAAACCAGAAAGGCUUGGCUGAAUCUGUUUCGAAACACAAAUCCAGGAUUAGAGAAGAACUCUACUGUUUGGAAUAGUGGUGGACUCGAUUCUUUGGAAUAUCUUGGUGAGUGAAAUGAAGUCACCAGCAAUAUUUUCUCCACACUGGUCACCGUGGGAACCGAAAGCAGUGAAGCCCAGUGGACUGACAACUGAGACGAUGCAGAUGCCACAGUAUGGGGGUCUAGGGGGCCAUCCUAAGAUGGGUAACACUUUGCUCAGAAGCUGGGACACCUACUGCUUCCUGCCCAGAUACAUCCCUAAGUAAGGUGCUCAUUUCAACCCCUGUACACAAUUUAAAUUCUAUACCAUAAUAUAAGGAACGAGAAGCAUGAUUACUGCCUUUUAGAGGCCCCUCUAAAUACCACAGCAGAACCAGCCAGAUAGACAAAUCAUUUCACAAAAGAAACGCAGUAAAUGACAAAUAGGAAAUCAAAAGGGCCCAGGGUCUGACUGGGACAGAGAACACUACCACCAGCCUUUGUGGAUGUGAUUAUGGGUUCUGAUUCCCAUUGUCUAAUCAAGGCUGAAGUGGCCCCUUGGAAGCAGUGCCCAAGCGACACAGCUGAUUUCAAAUGGACUUGUUCCCAACAUGGACUUGGUACAAGUCGUGAGAUCUAAAGUCAGAGUUUGAAACAUAAACCUGUCUCUCUAAAGCCAAGCUUCUCGUUGAACCUAAGGGUUUUCCAUGGGUACCAAGUAAAGCACGGGGCUGGGGACAACCAAAUGUUGGUUGCAAAUAUGGUUAUUUUGCAAAUAUGUUAUUUUCUGAGUGUCGAUGUAUAUUCAUAUACACUGUUUGACAUUCAUUCUAUGCAGGGUUGCAUGGCCAUUAUCCUGAAAUGGGUCUUACAGGUGAUUCAAAUGGUUUUCAAGGAGGAUUUUGGCUCCCCUUACUUUUUGUGUUAAGAUACAUUUCAGUGUCCAGACCAGUGUCCAGCAUGGGACAUACUGAGAAAACAAGAACAUAGAUGUUGUCCAGCACCCAAGUACUGAUCCAGACCUGCUUGUUAAUACAGUGGUAUCUCUUCUGGGAUAAAGACAAGAGAUAAGUGUGUGUAGCCCCGAGCGUGUGAGCUUAGCAACUCAGAACUAGGAGAACGUAUUUCCAAGUUUGUAUUCACAUGGGAAAAUUUAUACGUAUUAGCUUGGAUGCGGAUGGCUUUCCUGUCUGUGUUUCUCUAUGUAGCCAGAAAAACCUUCUGGACUUGUUUCUAUUCCAAGAGGCUGCAUGAAUGGUAAAACAUACAGAUGCCAACUUGAGUCAUAUAGAAGGGAACACGUGUUUUCGGGACAUACUAAAAUAGCACAGUAAAAUCGGGCAGGUGUUUGAUCAGGGAAUACGAAACCGUCUUCUCCAAAGACUCUGGAGGUUUUUUUUACUUGAAUGUUUUCAGCAAAAUAAACGGUUACUAGGAAAACAUGCUGUAAACGUAAGAAGGGUCUGCUGGCUUGAAAUGUGGCUGGCUGAUUUCUCCUUCCUUUGUAAUCCCAUUAAGCUCGGUAGCAAAACUCAGCCCUCCUGGCAGCUCUUCUCACCCGCAGCUGCCGGCAGAAAGUGCUCAGUGCCCAGAGUAAAGUCUUCAUUGGUUAAUGACCCUUGACCUUUCAUAGGUGGUGUCUUCCGUGGCAACACUUAGCUUGGAGGCUCCUACAUGAUAUACAGACUGACCAAGAGACAGCAUGGAAUUUCGUUGGAGUCCAAGGCUGGCGUGAUAAAAGGGAAUUACACACCCAAAGAUGUCUAUUCUGGAUUGACUCAACUGUUGAGUUAAUUUUUUUUUUAUUUAGGAUAUAGUGAUUUCUAAUUUGUACUGAUAACAAUCUAUUAGAGUUCUAACUGAUCUUGGUUGUCCAGACAGAAGGCAAGCAAAAUUUAAAAGAUGAUUUUUGCUACUUUUGGGUCUUGUUUCUAAGAACUUUGAAUGUGGCUUUUAAAACAUCAUUAAUACUGCGUACGGGCUGAAGCAUUUAAUGCCUCAUUUAUAGAUCAUUCUUUCUAUUCAGCUAGCAAAAAUCUCCCUGAAUUUUGGCAGUUUGUCUCCAUUAAUUUCAAAUAAACAUUUUAACCACGGA